rnacentral:rRNA from 1 species
UACAGAGGUCCCAAGCGUUGUUCGGAUUCAUUGGGCGUAAAGGGUGCGUAGGCGGCGCGGUAAGUCGGGUGUGAAAUCUUGGGGCUUAACUCCGAAACUGCAUUCGAUACUGCCGUGCUUGAGGACUGGAGAGGAGACUGGAAUUUACGGUGUAGCGGUGAAAUGCGUAGAUAUCGUAAGGAAGACCAGUGGCGAAGGCGGGUCUCUGGACAGUUCCUGACGCUGAGGCACGAAGGUCAGGGGAGCAAACGGG